rnacentral:rRNA from 1 species
GACGAACGCUGGCGGCGUGCUUAACACAUGCAAGUCGAACGGAAAGGCCCUGCUUUUGUGGGGUGCUCGAGUGGCGAACGGGUGAGUAACACGUGAGUAACCUGCCCCUGACUUUGGGAUAACUUCAGGAAACUGGGGCUAAUACCGGAUAGGAGCUCCUGCUGCAUGGUGGGGGCUGGAAAGUUUCGGCGGUUGGGGAUGGACUCGCGGCUUAUCAGCUUGUUGGUGGGGUAGUGGCUUACCAAGGCUUUGACGGGUAGCCGGCCUGAGAGGGUGACCGGCCACAUUGGGACUGGGAUACGGCACAGACUCCUACGGGAGGCAGCAGUGGGGAAUAUUGCACAAUGGGCGGAAGCCUGAUGCAGCAACGCCGCGUGCGGGAUGACGGCCUUCGGGUUGUAAACCGCUUUCGCCUGUGACGAAGCGUGAGUGACGGUAAUGGGUAAAGAAGCACCGGCUAACUACGUG